rnacentral:rRNA from 1 species
GAGCACGUAGGUGGGUUUGUAAGUCAGAUGUGAAAGCCUUCUGUUCAACGGAAGAAUUGCAUCUGAAACUGCGAGUCUUGAGUGUAGGAGGGGAGAAUGGAACUUCUGGUGGAGCGGUGAAAUGCGCAGAUAUCAGAAGGAACGCCGGCGGCGAAAGCGAUUCUCUGGCCUAUUACUGACACUCAGUGUGCGAAAGCUAGGGGAGCAAACGGGAUUAGAUACCCCGGUAGUCCUAGCCGUAAACGAUGGGCACUAAGUAGAGGGGUUUU